GCCCGAAUGGCGAAAUCGGUAGACGCAGGAGACUUAAAAUCUCUCGCCCGUAAGGGUGUGCCGGUUCGAGUCCGGCUUCGGGCACCA
rnacentral:tRNA from 1 species